GACGAACGCUGGCGGCGUGCUUAACACAUGCAAGUCGAACGGAAAGGCCCUGCUUUUGUGGGGUGCUCGAGUGGCGAACGGGUGCGUAACACGUGAGUAACCUGCCCUUCACUUUGGGAUAACUUCAGGAAACUGGGGCUAAUACCGGAUAGGAGCUGCCGCUGCGUGGUGGGGGGGGGAAAUUUUCGGCGGUCGGGGUUGGACUGGCGGAUUAUGAGUUUGUUGGUGGGGUAGUGGCUGACCCAGGCUGUGACGGGUAGGCGGCCUGAGAGGGUGACCGGGCACAUUGGGACUGAGAUACGGCCCAGACUCCUACGGGAGGCAGCAGUGGGGAAUAUGGCACAAUGGGCGGAAGCCUGAGGCAGCAACGCCGCGUGCGUGAUGACGGCCUGCGGGUUGUAAACCGCUUUCGCCUGUGACGAAGCGGGAGUGACGGUAACGGGUAAAGAAGCACCGGCUAACUACGUG
rnacentral:rRNA from 1 species